rnacentral:rRNA from 1 species
GACGAACGCUGGCGGCGUGCUUAACACAUGCAAGUCGAACGAUGAAGCCCAGCUUGCUGGGUGGAUUAGUGGCGAACGGGUAAGUAACACGUGAGUAACCUGCCCUGAACUCUGGGAUAAGCGCUGGAAACGGCGUCUAAUACCGGAUAGGACCUUUCCUCGCAUGAGGUUUGGUGGAAAGUUUUUCGGUUUGGGAUGGACUCGCGGCCUAUCAGCUUGUUGGUGAGGUAAUGGCUCACCAAGGCGUCGACGGGUAGCCGGCCUGAGAGGGUGACCGGCCACACUGGGACUGAGACACGGCCCAGACUCCUACGGGAGGCAGCAGUGGGAAUCUUGCGCAAUGCGCGAAAGCGUGACGCAGCGACACCGCGUGAGGGAAGACGGCCUUAGGGUUGUAAACCUCUUUCAGAUGGGACGAAGGUUGUCCGGUGAAUAGCCGAGAUGAUUGACGGUACCGUCAGAAGAAGCUCCGGCUAACUACGUGCCAG